AACGAACGCUGGCGGCAGGCCUAACACAUGCAAGUCGAGCGAGAUCUUCGGGUCUAGCGGCGGACGGGUGAGUAACGCGUGGGAAUAUGCCUCUUGGUACGGAAUAGCCUCGGGAAACUGGGAGUAAUACCGUAUGUGCCCUUUGGGGGAAAGAUUUAUCGCCAAGCGAUUAGCCCGCGUUGGAUUAGGUAGUUGGUGGGGUAAUGGCCUACCAAGCCGACGAUCCAUAGCUGGUUUGAGAGGAUGAUCAGCCACACUGGGACUGAGACACGGCCCAGACUCCUACGGGAGGCAGCAGUGGGGAAUCUUAGACAAUGGGGGCAACCCUGAUCGAGCCAUGCCGCGUGAGUGAUGAAGGCCUUAGGGUUGUAAAGCUCUUUCAGCUGGGAAGAUAAUGACGGUACCAGCAGAAGAAGCCCCGGCUAACUCCGUG
rnacentral:rRNA from 1 species